UACGUAGGGGGCGAGCGUUGUCCGGAGUUACUGGGCGUAAAGCGCUUGUAGGCGGUCCACCAAGUUUGGGGUGACAGUUGCCGACUUAAUCGGCAAAGUGCCUCAAAGACUGGCGGACUUGAGGGCCACAGAGGGACAUGGAACUCCAGGUGUAGUGGUGAAAUGCGUAGAUAUCUGGAAGAACACCAAAGGCGAAGGCAGUGUCCUGGCUGGCAUCUGACGCUGAGGCGCGAAAGCUAGGGGAGCGAACAGG
rnacentral:rRNA from 1 species